rnacentral:sRNA from 1 species
UCACAAGAGGUCCUACCACCAGUGAUUGA